UACGGAGGGUGCAAGCGUUAUCCGGAUUCACUGGGCUUAAAGGGUGCGUAGGUGGGCUAGUAAGUCCGUGGUGAAAUCUCCAAGCUUAACUUGGAAACUGCCGUGGAUACUAUUAGUCUUGAAUAUUGUGGAGGUAAGCGGAAUAUGUCAUGUAGCGGUGAAAUGCUUAGAUAUGACAUAGAACACCGAUAGCGAAGGCAGCUUGCUACACAAUCAUUGACACUGAGGCACGAAAGCGUGGGGAGCAAACAGG
rnacentral:rRNA from 1 species